CCACCGAUUUUUCACAGAACUAAAACAACAAUAACGUUCAAUCUUUCUUGUGAAAAGUGAUCCCAGAGUCCUGCUUUCAGUAGUUCCCUGAUCAGCCCAACAAUAUGCUGCCAGUGCCGUGGCACCUUGACUUCUCUGGAGCUUCUUCACAGACAUGAGGACCGUUCCAAGAUGGCCGCCGUAUUCCCUGCACCGCAGCAGCCGAUGUGGCGUCUCCUGUUUAUGUCUGUGGUUACAACUGACCGUGUUACAACUGUCCCCAGUCUCCCUACUGGAAUGAAAAGAAUGUUCACGGCUCUACGUCACUGAAAAACGGCUCUCCAGAGAGUCAGCUUGAGAAAACCAACACUGACCAGAGCUGAGUUUAACUCUACACACAUGUAUGUUUGAGUCCACUCUUUAGUUAAUUCAACACUGGUGAAUUUGCAGAGCAGGAAGUGACCAUGCUUCAAUUUCAACUACUAAUUUAAAUUCAACCUGAACUGAUUGUUUGGACUGAUGAAUGUUUUCCGUUUUGUCCUGAAAACUGCCUUGAAAUGCAAAACAACAGAAAUUUAAACAUGGAAUUCAAAGUUUGACUAUUCACGAUUAGCUGUGCAAAUUCUGUGAUUAAUCUCAAUCAAAAAUCUUUUAACAUCCCCGUUUUCAACAUUUCAAUCAGAAAGACUUUGGUGUUUUCUUCUCUCUCAGUCUCGCUUUCUUUAAACUGCAACUGCAACCAUGAUUUUAUUCUGAAGAGCUGAUCUGUGUCUCACUUCCUCUGAUGGGAGGGUCUCAUUUAAAAAAGGAAGAAAAAAUCAAGGAGGAGAAGCAGAAAACAGGAAGUGAAGCGCUGAGUUCAGACUCCACUGACAGCCUGAGAGAAGAAGCAGUGACUGAAGAUGAGUGGUGUGGAUGAAGAGGAGGACGGACCAGAGUGUGUGGACAGACUCACAGCAGAGUCCUCAGGAUCCAGCAGGUUGUCUCUGAAGAAUGACCGGUCCAGACGUAGUCCACUAUUCUUCAGUGCUGAACCUGGACCUUCAGACUCAAAACACACAGCAGAGUCUUCAGGAUCCAGCAGGUUGUCUCUGAAGAGUGACUGGUCCAGAGAUCGUCCACCAUUCUUCAGUGCUGAACCAGGACCUUCAGACUCAAAAAAGAGGAAGAGGACUGAUGUGUGUGAGGAGCAGCCAGAAAGAUCCAGAAGCGCCGCU